UUUAAAUAAUUGGUGCAGUGUUAUUUUUAUUUUUUAUUUAAAGUCUUCCUGUUAAAGUGAAUCCUUCCUCUCCUCUCCACUGUCACCAGAUUGAUAUUCAGUACAAAUCAUUGCUUUAGCUUAACUUUUAACUAAUUUAGAUCAUUGGUCUAGUGUUGACCUUAUUUUGGAAAAUCUUCCUGUUAAAGGGAAGUUUUUCCGUUUUUGUUACCACGUGGGUCAUCAGUAGGAGACAUUGCUUAAGCUUAUUUAUAAUGAAUUUACGUAAUUGGUGCAGUGUUAAUGUUUUGGAAAUCUUUCUGUUAAAGGGAAGUUUUUCACUACAUGUAUCCUCAACAUGAGACAUUGCUUAAGCUUUCAUAAUUUUUAACUUAUGUUUGAUAACCGGUUUUUAUUUUUUGGAAAGUCUUCAUGUUAAAGGGAAGUUUUUCCUUUCUACUGUCACUACAUGCAUGUUCAUUAUGAGGUGUUGCCUAAGCUUACUGUAACGUAAUAAAUUUAAAUUGGUGAAGUGUUGACCUUAUUUUGGAAAGUCUUCCUGUUAAAGGGAAGUUUUUCCUAAACACUGUCACAGCAUACAUCUUUAGUAUGAGUCUCAGCUUCAGCUUACAUAACUUUUAAUCAUUGUAUGAUAACUGCAGUUUUUUUUUGGUACAACUUCCUGUUAAAAGGAAAUGUUUCUUUUUGGGAAGUCUUUCUGUAAAGGGGAAUUUUUGUCUCAUCACUGUCACCACAUGCAUCCUCAGUGUCUGUGGUGGUGGAUGAUAGUUUUAGCUCAUGGUUGAGAAUUUAAGGCCUGGUCAUCACCACAUGGUAUAUGGACUGGGAAGACAUAGAAGCCAAUCAACAAAUUUUGUUGAGAUGGAAAGACAACUCUGAAGACACCAGAUGACUUUGGACUGUGAAAGAUGGGAGUGGGAAUCCAACGGCAAGAAAUGUGGUAUGGUACUUCCAGUAGCCACUCCUUAAGGCUAUGAUAUCAUAGGAAGAGUUCAAGGAAUUUGGUAUCAAAUGAGGACAACUACGGGAUUGAUUCAUUCCAUGCACGAUGCUCCACACAAGAAAAGCACGGUAGGCUAUUUGAAGGGUAGCUCUGACCUUGGUUUCAAAAGGGUAAAGGUAUGAAAGCGAGCCCGACUGAAGGGUAAGGGCUUGGUUGGGUUUGUGUGAAACUAAUUUGACUCACGGGUAAAGGGUUAGCGUUGCCCUUUGGUCAGGUUUGUGUGAAAAAGAACCCGACCGACGGGUAAAGGGUUAGUGUUGCCCUUCGGUAGGGUUUGUGUGAAAAAGAAUCCGACCGACAGGUAAAGGUGUGAAAACUAACCAAACUUGGAUCCUUCAGUCAAAUAUGUGUAUGGAAUCCAUUGUAAAAUUUACUAAGAAGGUACCAAUAUAAAUAACAUUUCAGUGACGACCAAAACUGACGAGACCAACGACUCAAGUGACCCAGCCACUCCUUGACUGCUCCCAACAAUGACCGACGAAAAAGGCCUUCAUCGCCCCCACCGCUGAUGGAUGACCUCAGUGACCCUGCCACCGGGCUCAGAAGUUUUCAAGAAAUGCUGCAGGAAUCCUCUUGGAUCAUCUUGUUUCUGUCUAUGAUUUCGCCCUUCAUCGCCCCCAUCGACUGACAAAGGAAAAUGGCUGAACUUAAAACAUUUACCAAAACUUUUUUUCUUUCAACCAAAAACUGGGUCUGGUACUUUGGCAGCCUUUUUAUUUAAUUUUUUUUUCUUUGGACAAUUUUGUUUAGAGACUUCAUAAUUAAUUUUAUUUGCUCUGUUUAUUUUAGAUAUUUAAAAUGUCUUCCAAUUUCAGUGUUAAAUGUUAGAACAAAUGUUUGUUGAUUUUUGAGAAUGUUUGCAUCAUUUGGCGUUACCAUGGUUAUGGCAUUGAUUAUGAAAGGCUUAUACUGUUUUAUUGUGAUCUGUCUGUGUUUAUGCUGCUGUUUGUCAUUUUAUUUCAACUGUUUUUGUUUUCUGUUUUUCUCUCCACAGUUUCAACACCUGGCCUGGCGUUCUGAUUGGCUGCGGUUGCUUCCUGGAGGAGGACAUUGGCUGACAUGAUGCUGCCACCACCCAACCGUUCUCCCUCUCUGUUUCACUUCCACGAACAUGGAAAGUUCUCCUGAUCGUUGACCUGUUGUUGUGUCUCUGCUCUGUCUUCUCUCAGCUCCAGUCGGUCCUGGCAGACGGCUGCUGGUACUGAGCCCGGUUCUGGUUCUGCUGGAGGUUUCUUCCUGGUAGAGGGGAGUUCUUCUUCUCUACUGUCGCUACAUGCACGCUCUGUAUGAGGGACUGCUGUAGAGUCCACAACUCAACACAAGCGAUUUGCUGUCGCCCCCUGCUGGUCAGAUGGAGUGAAUGCUGUAAAUGAUGACUCCAUACAAUCUGCUGGGUUUUAUUUGGUACAAACUUUUUAAACUACUUUAAUAAUUAACUGAGAUCAUUGUACUAGCAAUUGGAGUACAUGUGAUUGAACUAAAUUUAUUUCAAAGUGCAUUGAGACGACAUUUGUUGUGAAUUGGCAAUAUAUAAAAUUAAACUUUCAAACUAACAAAUGGGCCCCACCAAUAAACAAUAAAAAAACCCCACAACAAACAAUACAAGAAAGUUCAAAACCCCAAAAGUAGAUACCAAAACAUUCAAAACCCCCAAAAGUAGAUUUCAAAACCCCAAAAGUAGACAUCAAAAGCUUAUAAUUAUAAUGUUAAUUCACAACAGUGUCGUUGUCGAGGCAUUUUACGAAAAGUCAUUUCAAUUUAGUGAAAUUACGAUUGAUAAAAGUUUUCAGUUUCUUAGGUUCAGUUAAUUAAAAAGCAGUUUAAAAAGUUUGUACCAAAUAAAACCCAGCAGAUUGUAUGGAGUCAUCAUUUACAGCAUUCACUCCAUCUGACCAGCAGGGGGCGACAGCAAAUCGCUUGGGUUGAGUUGUGGACUCUACAGCAAUCCCUCAUACAGAGCAUGCAUGUAGCGACAGUAGAGAAGAAGAACUCCCCUCUACCAGGAAGAAACCUCCAGCAGAACCAGAACCGGGCUCAGUACCAGCAGCCGUCUGCCAGGACCGACUGGAGCUGAGAGAAGACAGAGCAGAGACACAACAACAGGUCAACGAUCAGGAGAACUUUCCAUGUUCGUGGAAGUGAAACGGAGAGGGAGAACGGUUGGGUGGUGGCAGCAUCAUGUCAGCCAAUGUCCUCCUCCAGGAAGCAACCGCAGCCAAUCAGAAUGCCAGGCGUCGAAACUGUGGAGAGAAAAAUUACAGAAAACCAAAAGUUAGUUUUUAACUAAAGACCUGUUUGAAAUCAAUCGAAUAUUUAUUAGUAGAAUAAGCUAGCAGCACUUACAGAAAAAUGCUGCUAUAACUGUCUGUGUGCUAGAAGUGAGCAGAGGUGGAAUAAUUUGUUUCAGGUUGUAAAUAUUUAUUUUGAAUCAUGUCAAAGAGAAUUCGGCUGUUAAUUAAUGGAGAUGCUCGUUGUUGCUCUCAUGUCUUGUUUAACAAUCGUCCUCA